UAAUAAUAAUGACUUUAUCAGAAUUGACAUGCAACUCCCAGCACCAUCUGACACCCAAAGCAUCUCUGUCAGAUGGUCCUACUGCUUCUCCAGGACUCCAUAACCAAUAACUAUAACAGCAACUGUAACAAAUUGACAUACAACUCCCGGCGCCUUCUGACACCCAAAGUAUCUGUCAGAUGGUCCUACUGCUUCUCCAGGACUCCAUAACCAAUAACCAUAACAGCAACUGUAACAAAGGAGCUGCCACACAACUUUCUUUAGCCCUCUGGUGGAGUUCCAGAGCACCUUCAGGACAUCGUGCUAACCCCAUGUAGCGGAUAGUUGGAUAGACCGCGGCAAAUGUGCGCCAUUGUUUUAUAGGGAAAUGCCAGAAUUCUCGGAAAUAAUUUCAGCUUCCAGCCCAGAAUGUCCACGGGUCACGACUAGCAAGCAUGUAAUUUUUAUAACAGUAGGAGACAUACAUUUGUAUUAAAGAUUAAAUUCA